rnacentral:lncRNA from 1 species
UCCUGACAUAAUUUGUUCCUGUCAAUUUUUUUAUUUGUGAAUUUGACUCAUAUAUCCUUUACAUUCAUUGGACAGCUAUUUUUAGAAGUGGUGUGUGUGUGUGUGUGUGUGUGUGUGUGUGUGUGUGUGUGUGUGUGUGUGUGUGUUAUUGCCUACUCUCUUCGAGUGUCAGUGAGUUGCGCCUCUGCAGUUUUCGCCACAGAGAGCGCAUUUGAGCAGCAACAAUGUUUCCUGGUUGAAGACAUUUCAAUGUAGUAUACUUUCUGCAAGUUAAUCACCUCUAAAACUAAGUUUGCGACAACACUAGAUAGCCAGAUUAGCUAGCUAGCUCAAAAACUAGCUUGUCGAACGUUAAUGGAAACUUUCACGACCAGAACCAAAGGAAAGAAAUGGAGAUCGUCCAGAUGGACAAUUAACCACAAAAGAUGGUAUGAUUUUGGAUACUCCUCUUCAGAAUGUAACUGUGGGGGGAAAUACUGCAAUGGGUGAUGAAAAUGUGGUGAGCACGGACAACAAUGCUCACAACUUGAGCCCCUCCAGUCCCCAGCUCAGGCCGUUACCUUAUGACCCCUGCACUCCAGUCAAGCCCCAGGGGAAAAAGAUGAGAGGCCAAGAGGGUAUGUCACUUCUUGAGAUGCAAAACAAUAUUGUAAUGCCUUUGACAGCAAAGAUAGAUGAAAGGGCAAAUGGCUUGGAGAUCAUGGUUAGGGCGAAUACGAUGAAAAUUGAGGCCAUUAAAAAAUCUGUUGACUUUAUCUUUGGAGAAGUGAAAACCCUCAAGUGACAUGAAGAAAAUGGAAGUUAUCUGCCAGUAAAAUUAAAAGAAGGUGGCUGAACUCGAGCAAAAGGUGAAUGAGGCGGAGAGAUACCAGCGCAGGUGGAACCUGAGGCUCCAUGGAAUUCCAGAGAAGGCGGGUGAGGACAUCAAAUGCAGAGUUGUUGACAUCUGUGGAGCUGUCAUUCCCGAAUUAAAAGCCAAACUUUAAGAAAAUGUAGACAUCGUCCAUUGUUUGGGAAUACUCAAGGAUCAAGACAAGAGACAGAGGACAACCAUCAUCCAGUUCACCAACAGAUCUACACGGGAUCUUCUCUGGAGGCGAGCGAAGAAUUGUGAAUUCCUCAUCAAGCAAAAAUUGAGGUUCACGGAGGAUCUGACCUCAGCAGACAAAGUGACAAGAGAGAAACUGUAGCCGAUGGUGGCUACAGCUCGAAAGGCAGGGAAAACUGCAUUUUUUUAUCGGUGCAAGAGUGAUCAUCGAUGGGAAAGAAAUGCGGCCAAAUCAGAACAUUUAAGAGAGAGCCAGAGUCUAACUCGGACAGAACUGUCAGGCCAAAAAACUGAUUGCCAGGAAUGCAGCCCUAGGACAAGUGAACUGGAACAAAGUUUCGUUGUUAUCUGGUAAAUAUUGUAUAUCUAAUAAGAUGAAAGAAGUAUCAUACAAACUCAUUCAUAGAAUCUACCCUGUAAAGGACUUUAUUAUACACAGAUUUAAAAUAGCUAUUGAUAGCAAAUGUGUAUUUUGUGGUUGUGACCCAGAAACUCUUGACCAUUUAUUUUGGGACUGUUCUUAUGUCAGAAGAUUUUGGAGUGAGUUAGAAGAUUUUAUUUUAAAAGAAACUAAAAUUAAUUUUAAUUUGAAAGACUCUGAUAUUAUGUUUUAUUUUGAUCCAAAUGAUAUGGACCCUGAUUUAACUUUCAUUGUUAAUUUGUUUAUCUUUCAUGGAAGAUUCUUUGUCCAUAAAAUGAAGUGGGCAGAGAACAAACCCCUCUUCACAGUAUUUAAGAUAGAAUUUAAAUAUUAUUUUGAAAUUAUCAGUAAAUGUAAAAACAAAAAAGCAAUACGCACCAUAAAAGUAUUUAACAAAUUGAAAAUGAAUCUUGAUAUGUAAUACCCCUGUCUGUUAGGUUUAUGUACUCUUGUUUGUAUAUUUCUGUUUUUUUGUAUUUGUUGUGUGCAUAAUAAAAAAAUAAAAAAUAAUAA